UGGGGAAUAUUGCGCAAUGGGGGAAACCCUGACGCAGCAACGCCGCGUGCGGGAUGAAGGCCUUCGGGUUGUAAACCGCUUUCAGCAGGGAAGACAUCGACGGUACCUGCAGAAGAAGCCCCGGCUAACUACGUGCCAGCAGCCGCGGUAAUACGUAGGGGGCGAGCGUUAUCCGGAUUCAUUGGGCGUAAAGCGCGCGCAGGCGGUUGCUCAAGCGGAACCUCUAAUCUCGGGGCUUAACCUCGAGCCGGGUUCCGAACUGGACGACUCGAGUGCGGUAGAGGCAGAUGGAAUUCCCGGUGUAGCGGUGGAAUGCGCAGAUAUCGGGAAGAACACCAACGGCGAAGGCAGUCUGCUGGGCCGUCACUGACGCUGAGGCGCGAAAGCUGGGGGAGCGAACAGG
rnacentral:rRNA from 1 species